UGGAGUGGCAAUCGGUAGAGUCAGGACUUUUCCCAGUGGGUUGGUAGUGUUUUGAGGCCGCGAGGGCCGGUCUGAUAAUAGUCUCUUAUCUCAAUACAAACACAGGCUAAAAAGAAAGCACUAACGGUCACAACCAUGUCUAGGAUAUUCAGAAAUAUAGGGGGAUCAGUGAGCGGCCCCUCCCCAAAUGGCAUAGCCUGGUUGGCCUAAGACGUAAAGCCAUCAAACAGCUCUUUUUCUUCAUCACGUUGGAAGUCCAUCGGUAACGUUAACAGACAGUGUGUGAGUCUAAUGAUGAAAACCAAAAAAGAAAAGGGAAAGGUGGCGCUGUGAUGGUCAACUUAAAAGGAA